AUGAAUGGACACGCUCUGUUGUUGGAACAAAAAUAAAACAUUGUAUGGCACAGUGGAGACGCGUGAACUCAUUCAUGAUCAAGAAAGGAAAGUGGGACAACUUAGCGCGUCAGAAAGGUCGCUCCGGGGUCAAACCCCUCAGUAGCUGAUAGUAGACUAAGCUCCUAUAACAUUAGUCAAAAAACCUAGCAACGUUGGAUCCUUUUUGGAAACGUUCGGCACGGACCGGAGGCGUCACAGGAGGAGAGCGGCUGCCAGGCGUUUGAUCUGCUACCCGGAGGAUGUUGCAGUUUCGUGGCUGUUAUGCACAGGGGCUACGGUGCGAAGGCUAAAGCGGCUAACAAGCAUCGGAUCAGCUGAUCACCGCCCGGCGCCCAACGCGUAAGGAACAAGUGUCAUGCCCAGAGCAAGUCAUCCCACCUAACUGCUGCCUCCUGGUCUUCCAUCUGCAGUGCAUCUUAGGCUGCCAUAGGCUGAGCCAUGAUCACACCUGAUGUUUAACAGCAUCGCCUCCUCAUCAAUAUGCCUAAUGAGAUCCCAUGAGAGGUUCCAAAGGAUAUGCCAGUCUGGUGUCCCUCAGGGUUGGACAUGGGAGCUUUGCCUGUACUCUCAAGGACACUGGGCUCAGCAUGACCAUACAGUAACCUUUUUAUGUAUUCUAAUUACUCUAAGGACUGUUCUGGCACCCUUUCUUAGACUGGCACAUAAUGAUAUCCCACUUCAACAUCUGUAGAUUAAUUAGCACAUGCUGGGGGAACUCCACUGGUUUAGUGACAUUAUCAUUGAAACUCAUAAUGAAAUAUGUAAUUGUAGUCAAAAUCGAGGAUAUUAGAAUUAACAAGUUGUUAGA